UCCCCAGAAGGAAAGCCCCAGCAUACUAAGGAGGAAUUGCUCAAGACUUUCAGAAUAAAACCGCGGAAACAUUAAACACGUGCAAAUUCAUUCCAUGUCCUGAACUCCUGGAGUCUCAGAGCAGACACAAAUUAGCAUAACAUUUCUGAGCAGAAGAAUAUUUGUCCUACAUCUGGCCACCCUUGAUGACAUCUCAGACCGUAGGAAGGACCCAUGGACCCUUCCCAGGCUAAAAAGGAGCCUGGCCAAGGAUUAGAGAAGGUCCAAAGGAGUGUUUAAAAGCAAUUCCUAUUUUGAAAAGACUAACAGUAAGGAGUACAACUUCAACUUUAUUUUCCUGUGAUGGCAGUAGAGAUAUUUUUCUUCUGUCUUGCUAAGAUGUUCCAUGACAGAACCCACGGUCCUGAAUAACCUUAUGGCAACCUGAAAAGAAACAAAGAGUCCACCAUCAGACAGUUUUGUUGGCAUAGAUUAUUGUCUUUCAUACACUCCAUUAUAUACAUCUUCUUUUAGCUGAAAACAAAGAAUGUGGAACAAAACAGAAAAAAAUACAGACAUCUGUUACUAGUGGUGUAACAUAGCUAGAAAGUGAAGCAAACGUACAUUUAAAAGAAAAACAAUAAACUGG